AUCAUACGUCACUUUGGGCCGGUUUCCCCGACAGUCUAUAGCGGGGGUGGUCAAACUACGGCCCGCGGGCCAGGGGACCCUCCUGCCCGGCCCCUGAGCUGCUGGCCCGGGCGACUCGCCCACUUCCCCGCAGCCUCAGGCCAGGCGCUCUCCCCAGCAGCUGGCUACGCUGCACUGAGCCGCAUCGUGGGGGGGGGGCGUCUCCAUCCCACUCCCCGAUGCGCCUCAUAUGGAUAAUUCCGUGUCGGUGUCCCCGGAUCUCGCGGCGUGGCGUAUUUAAGGAGGACCCCACGCCCAGCCCGAGCCAUAAGCCCGGGAGGUAGCGACACAAGAGCGGAGAGCGCUGCGGGAUCCUGGCCGGCUGGAGCCUCUGCUCUUCGCCCGCUCCCCAGGGACAGACAGCUGGGUGCGUUUCCCUUCGGUGUUGCUGACCUGCCCAGAUGAGCGGGGCUGCAGCCGCGGGACCCUCUCCCCGAGCCUGGCGGCUCCCAGCGGGGCAGCCCGUCCCCUCGCUGCUCCGUCUGCCUGCCAGCCGGGUUCGCUCUGAGCCCGCUCCAGGGGACACGAGCCUGGGCGAGUUGCGAGCCAGGAUCCAGGCACCGGCUGCCCACGGAGCGAUCAGGGGCUGGGGAUCUCCACCAGCAGGUUUCCAAUCGGAGGAGGAGGAGACUGCACGUAUCUGAACGGUCGGAGUGCGGUCAGCAGCUUGCGAUGCACCAGUGAGAGACCCUGGAUCUGCACCAAACCCGAUGCAUUUACACAGGCACAGGAGGCUGCCGUGGACGGGGGCUGGUAACAAGAGUAUUAUGGAAUCUAGCCCUGGAAAAGCCGGAGUGUGAUUUCUUGUGACCAUCACAUCUGAGCAAUUCCGGAAUAUCGGGCAAUGCUCUGCGCAUCACUGGGCAGAGCACUGUGGACUCAGGUAAAACCCAGAGAUGCUAUUUGCACAUCUUGUCGUCCCGUCCCCCCCGCGCGCCGUCUCUUUUUCUGCCAGCGGAACGGCUCAAAUCCAGCCUUUCUAACCUACCUCAGCUGGACCAGGAGCUCUGCCGAACUGAGCCAAGGCACCAGCCUCAGCUUUCGCUGCCCUGACAUUCCCCCACAGAAGCUUUUUACUACAGAAAAUUAUCUAUGGAAUCUUUGAAAAAUAUUCCUCAUUCCCAUUUUAUGGUCUGGAAUAGAGCUGAGGGGGGAUGUUCUCCAUUCCCCCCCUCCCCCCAGCAACUUUUUAACAAGAUUUUUUUAUGGGUCAGUUUUUGGGGUGUUUUGAAAACCCAAUUGAUUUUGAAGUUUGCAGGUUUACACACCAGUUCCUGGUUUUUGUUGCCAGAUAUUGCUUUGGAUGAAAGAAUGAACGUUUUAAACUAGUUUUAAUUUUCCAUUUUUAAAAAGCACUGCACCUGCCAAGGGAGUAGGACCCCUGUUACACUCCUCUUGGGACACCUAGGGCCUGGAACGUAGGAGUAAGAGGAGAAAUGUCUGUUCUCUCCCUUCCUGGAGCCCAGUGGGUUUGAAAAGGGCUGGGAGGGGGUAGGUGUGACACAGACAGACCAGGUGCCAGGUCAUGCCAAAGUCCCUAUGUCUGCUAUAGAUGCUUCUGUUACACAACUAAGCUACAAAGUUUCAAAAGGUAUGUAUGUUCACCAGCUUUAGCCUUGUAAAUAAAUCUUAUUUCCUUUUUAAUAAAGUGUCAUAUAAUAA